GCCCUAGGCGUGCCAAGGAACAGAGGCGAGCAGGCCACUCGGCAUUUAGGCGGGGCGACUAAUAAGAGAGCGGUAUGCGGCGGCGUGUCAAGCGUGUACCUUUUCACUUUGCGGGUAUCGUCCAGGCCAUCUCCAGAGUCGGAUGAAGAUUUGAGGUACGAUGAGCCGGUGUGGAGCUCAAGUUUGGAAACGGCCGCCUCCAAAGCGGACUACAGGCAAUGUACUGAUGUCCACACCGCCCACGUGUUCUUUUCUGUCGAGCACAGGUUUUUUCCGCUCAUCUCUGAAAGCUAAGUGUUGGGACCCGUGGUCUGGAGAAGGGAAAAGCCUUUGGAAUCACAGGAGGCAAUUUGAAGUUAGCUUAGAGGAGAGGGCUGUAGCGGGCCGGGCCCCUUGGAAGUAAAGGGAGAAGGUUUCUCCUCAGCAUCACCCGACCCUUUGCCGGGCACAGCAGUUCCAUACCCACGUUUUUGUGAGCUUUGUGUCAUCUGCCGUCUUUGAGUCUCCAUGUCAUCGCGGGUCUUUUCGCCCGAGGAGCUCGCCUUCGGGUCCCGAGCGGUCACCCGGCAGUCAUCACCUCUUUCUCUAGGCCUACUGAGCUUCUUGAGCAUCCUCUUAACAGCUUUGGCACUAACUUCUUGUAAGGAGUUGUUUCACCAUCACGUGCUAUUGCCGUAGAGCCUUUUUUCCUUUGGCAUCGUCGCUUUCUGGGUCAUCUUGCAGCAGGAAUCUUGGGUCCAUCAGGUCCCCGAGGCGGCUUCGGAUCUCUGCCGUCACCGAUGCUACUGAUUUUUUUUUCGAGGAUCAGCAGCUGGAAGAUGUGCUGAAGCAUCUCCAUCAGUAGAGCGUUUUGAGGAAGGGCUGCAGUCAGUGCGUAAGCUGAAGAGUGUGAGAGUGUGUGACUGUCUGUGUCUGUCUGCGAGAGCUUGUCUGCCUGUGAGAGCGUGUGUGUUGACCGGUUCUAAUGUCACGUGUGUGAUUUUUGCCUUUCAGGUUUUUCAACACUAAAUUUUUAAAUUUAGAAUUAAAAAAAUCCCAGCUGCGUUGGGUUUUUUUUCCCCCCCCAGCUGGGUUUUUUUUCCCUCGGUCUUGGCCGGUCUGCGAGGCGACAUUCAUCGCCAAGGUUUGGGUGGGGACCCUGCCGGCGCCAGGGUUUUGUCAGGCAGGACAAUUUGGAGGCUCCC